GCUAUCAGGAUGUGAAGACGGUUCCAACCAGUAUAACAAAAAGUGUUUAUAAAACAAAUUGCCGACCCUACCUCUAACUAAACUUUGUGUUUUAUAUGACAGCUGAAAUUGUGUUAGUGGAAUGUGUAAUUAAUAUAUAAUUAUUAUACCAGCAAAAUAAUUUACAGGUAACGUUCCACUACUCUCGUAUAAGAAAAUUUUGAUAAUGCACUGUAUGUGUAAUAUUUAGCUCACUUUAGAAAAAGAACAGUACUUUGGUAGUAUUUAACCAAUUUCUGUUUAUAUGAGUAGCUUUCAUUUUUCAGCUAAUCUUUUCAUUCAUAAGUGCAUACCUGUACUUCGUUUUGUGCCUCUUUUGUUUAUUUUCUGCUCUCACGUCACAACAUGGGAAGACAUAUUGUGUUAACACCAUAACUACCAACAAAUAGUUCCUGGUGAAAGACAUUUUUGCGAUGUGGCAUAUCCUACACUCCCCCUCUGACCACGGCUGUCCGUCUGAAACCACCUCGCCAUGGUCAUUGUCCAAAUGAAAUACACAGGCUGACCUCAAGCCAGACCACAUUUCACACCAGCAGAGUCGACAACGCUCUUGGCCUCUCAAUGGAUAUCUAUGCUGAAAUGGGAACGCAUCAGGCAGGAGAACAAGAACGAGACUUCCUCUGAGCCGUGGAUAUGGCAGUAAUGAAGGCCAGGAGCAUCUGGCCGACUGUGAAUGGCUGAUUGCUGAAGAUGUGAGGGUGUGUCCUCUCUCCAGAGACACGUGAGAGUGACGCCGGAUUGGACGAUCUGUUUGCGGAGGGCGUGGUGUGUGCCUGAUCUGAGCCGGAGGAGGAGGACGAGGAGUAGAGACACAGGAGGAGGGAGAUUACUCUCGUUCCCACCACACCCUGCCAGGCCGAGGAGGACCGACAAACACACAAUGUUUCACUCAAGACUUUGAGUGUGUGUUUUACAGUGGAAUACUAACUACUCUACAAAACAUUGUAGUGAGCACUUAUCUGCAGAAAAAAAACAUCUUAAAUUGGUUUGAGAGAACUUUUGCUAAUUGGCUGACCAGGCUGGGAGAUCUUACACAAGUCGGGUUGGUUUGAGUUUUUACAGCAGUGAUUUCAUCUUAAAGUCAGUUGUUUAUACUAUGAACAAAUAAGACCUUGUAUUUUUAAUUGACUUUAAAAGAGUUCAUUGGAACAUAAUGUAAGACUAUAAACAGUUUAUUCUGUUUUCUCUCAUUCCAGCAUUUUCCUCUCCAACAUCAACCCUUCUGUCUGAAGUGUGAGGGUCAUUUAGAAUAUUGGAGCUCUCUGUCACAAAUCCCUUUUCAUGAGGAGGCAGAACAAACACAAUAUAUAUUAUUAAUAUGGAAGGUUGCAAAAAGGACACGUUUACUAAAAUCACAAUGAUAGACUUAAAACAUGUGGUUUAAUUGUAUAAAAACAUUUUCAAUCAAAGUAAAAGGUGAAGUAUACAUUUAUUCACAUGGCUCUUAAAGUGGUUGAAUAAAAUGUCACAUCUUUAGACAUACACUAUUUUUCUUCUAGUAUAAGUGAUGUGAAACAGAUUUAGAGAGAAAACAAUGCUCUCAUUCACUUAAAAUAAUCCAUUAUUGAAAUAAUUAUAAAACACAAACAGAAAUCUCAUUCAUGUGGCCACAUUGAUAUGGUAAUUAUAUUGCUAAGUAAAUUACAAUGCAGUUCUGUGUAAAGGGCAGAGUAAAAUUAGCAUAGACAAUGCAAGUGGAGAUUACAGUCUAGGCAAUAUUUCUCCAUUUUCUGACAUACAAUUUGUACGUCAUUAACUUAUAUAAAUAAACAGAUAUUCAUUGAGCGGCCUGUUGAAAUGGACACUUUCAUUUGGCUUUGUUUUGUCAUGCAUUUGUCUCAUUUAUGCUUAAUUCUUCAAUGAUUGUCACAAUAAAUUUAAAAAGUCAAUCUUUAUGACUUGUGU